CUACGGGUGGCAGCAGUGGGGAAUAUUGGACAAUGGGGGAAACCCUGAUCCAGCAAUGCCGCGUGUGUGAAGAAGGCCUGCGGGUUGUAAAGCACUUUCGGUUGGGAGGACUGCUUCUAGCACUAAUAUUGUUGGAAGUUGACGUUACCUUCAGAAGAAGCACCGGCUAACUCCGUGCCAGCAGCCGCGGUAAUACGAAGGGUGCAAGCGUUAAUCGGAAUUACUGGGCGUAAAGCGCGCGUAGGCGGCUAGAUCAGUCGGGUGUGAAAGCCCCGGGCUUAACCUGGGAACUGCAUCCGAUACUGGCUAGAUUGAGUACAGGAGAGGAGAGUGGAAUUCCACAUGUAGCGGUGAAAUGCGUAGAUAUGUGGAGGAACACCAAUGGCGAAGGCAGCUCUCUGGCCUGAUACUGACGCUGAGGUGCGAAAGCGUGGGGAGCAAACAGGAUUAGAUACCCUUGUAGUC
rnacentral:rRNA from 1 species